rnacentral:rRNA from 1 species
GAUGAACGCUGGCGGCGUGCCUAAUACAUGCAAGUCGAGCGAACGGACGAGAAUCUUGCUUCUCUGAUGUUAGCGGCGGACGGGUGAGGAACACGUGGAUAACCUACCUAUAAGACUGGGAUAACUUCGAGAAACCGGAGCUAAUACCGUUUUAUAUUUUGAACCUCAUGGUUCAAAAGUGAAAGACGGUCUUGCUGUCACGUAUAGAUGGAUCCGCGCUGCAUUAGCUAGUUGGUAAGGUAACGGCUUACCAAGGCAACGAUGCAUAGCCGACCUGAGAGGGUGAUCGGCCGGACUGGGAGUGAGACAGGGUACAGACUCCUACGGGCGGCAGCAGUAGGGAAUCUUCAGCCAUGGGCGAAAGACUGACGGAGAAACGCCGAGAGAGUGAUGAAGGUCUUCGGAUCGUAAGACUCUGUUAUUAGGGAAGAACAUUUGUGUAAGUAACUGUGCACAUAUUGACGGUACCUACUGAGAAAGCCACGGCUAACUACGUG